rnacentral:lncRNA from 1 species
CCUUCUAGAGAGAAAAAGAGAGAAGAGAGUGUGUGAGAGGGUGAGAAAUGAGAGAAGAGCCCUCAUAACCCCCUCAACAUAACCCCACAAUGCCACUUUUGCAUUUGGGUCCCUCAACAUUAAUCCUGUUACACUGCCCAGACUGGGCAUUUUUUGGGCUCGGGGACCGGUCUCUCGAGCAAGGGACCGGUCCCAGAGAGCUCUCCCGCAGUGUCACGUCCCGCUAUUGCCAAUUUGGUCGAUCCGGGCCCGUACACAGACGCCGAACGGACAGCACCUCCCCUGUCCGCCCAAGGCUCAACAAUUAUAGCUACAUGUAUAAAGAAAGAAAUAAUCCCAGGAGAAUAUUUCAAUAUACAUGGCUUGCACGAGGGCAAGCAACAAGCACAAGUGAAAGUAACUAACUAUACAUAAAAUUCACUGUAAUUUAAAACUUUUAAAACUGAACUAUACAUAACUGAAAAACUGAAACAUUUAGUUAUUUACAU